GUUUGCAUGUGUAUGUGUGCACACAUGCCUGUGUAUGCACAUGUGUGUAUAUGUGUGCAUUUGUGCAUAUGUGCAUGUGUGUUCAUGUGUGCAUGUGUAUGUGCGUGUGGUGGUGAUGAUGGUUGAACAGUCCUGCAGCCCUGGUCCCAUAUGGCCUAUUCCCAGCUUGGACUGGCUUCCUGGGGUGGACAUGGACAGGAAAAGAUGCCAGACUCAUAGAGAACCCCUUCUUCCUCCACACCAGAUUGGGCAGGGGGUGGGGAGGCUUUCACCUUAGCAAUAGGCAAUGGUUGAAAUAUCAUUUCCAGGGUGACAUGACAUGAUGUUUGGGAUUUACUUCGAAAGAACAGGGGUGGAGCGGGAGAUACAGAUGAAACAAGACUGGCUCAGUUGAUAAUUGUUGAAGCUGGCUGUUGGGUACCAGGGGUUCCACUAAACUAUUUUCUCUACUUCUGUGUAUGUUUGAAAUGUCCUGGAACAACAAUAAAACACUUAUGUCAUCUC
rnacentral:lncRNA from 10 species